rnacentral:rRNA from 1 species
UACGUAGAGUGCGAGCGUUGUCCGGAAUUAUUGGGCGUAAAGGGCUCGUAGGCGGUUUGUCGCGUCGGGGAGUGAAAACACCGGGCUUAACUCGGUGCUUGCUUUCGAUACGGGCAGACUAGAGUGCGGUAGGGGAGACUGGAAUUCCUGGUGUAGCGGUGGAAUGCGCAGAUGUCAGGAGGAACACCGGUGGCGAAGGCGGGAUCCUGGGCCAGUACUGACGCUGAGGAGCGAAAGCGUGGGGAGCAAACAGG